rnacentral:tRNA from 1 species
GAGGGUAUAGCUCAGUAGUAGAGUGCAUGCCUAGCAUGCACAAGGGCCUGGGUUCAAUCCCUAGUACCUCCC